UACAGAGGGGGCAAGCGUUGUUCGGAAUUACUGGGCGUAAAGGGCGCGUAGGCGGCCUUCUAAGUCGAACGUGAAAUCCCUCGGCUUAACCGGGGAACUGCGUCUGAUACUGGAUGGCUUGAGUUUGGGAGAGGGACGCGGAAUUCCAGGUGUAGCGGUGAAAUGCGUAGAUAUCUGGAGGAACACCGGUGGCGAAGGCGGCGUCCUGGACCAACACUGACACUGAGGAGCGAAAGCCAGGGGAGCAAACGGG
rnacentral:rRNA from 1 species